AACGAACGCUGGCGGCAUGCCUAACACAUGCAAGUCGAACGAGACCUUCGGGUCUAGUGGCGCACGGGUGCGUAACGCAUGGGAACCUGCCCUUAGGUUCGGAAUAACUCCCCGAAAGGGGUGCUAAUACCGGAUAAUGUCUUCGGACCAAAGAUUUAUCGCCUUUGGAUGGGCCCGCGUUAGAUUAGCUAGUUGGUAGGGUAAAAGCCUACCAAGGCGACGAUCCAUAGCUGGUCUGGGAGGAUGAUCAGCCACACUGGGACUGAGACACGGCCCAGACUCCUACGGAAGGGAGCAGUGUGGAAUAUUGGACGAUGGGCGAAAGCCUGAUCCAGCAAUGCCGCGUGAGUGAUGAAGGCCUUAGGGUUGUAAAGCUCUUUUACCCGGGAUGAUAAUGACGGUACCGGGAGAAUAAGCUCCGGCUAACUCCGUG
rnacentral:rRNA from 1 species